AUCCAGUCUCUAACUGUGUAUUCUCUGGCCUCCUCUCGCUAGAAGAUACAAACCUUGACUAAAGCUCCAAAUUUGUGUUUUGACCAUGUGACUGCCCGUGGUCCAUCAUUCUUUCCAGUUCACUUCAGCUGCAAGUGAGCAGUCUUGCCACAGGAAGUAGCUUCAAUCCAGUUGCUGGCGAGGGACCAUCUCGCCAUCUCCCACAGCGCCUGGUGCAGACAUCUUUAUUGUUACUGCAGGAGACAUUGACGAGGAACAGCACUGUUUUUCUCCAAAACUGCAUCACAAAAUAAGAAUGGAGUUUUACCUCAACACUCUGAUAGACCAGCAGUGCCUUCUGCAUGGGCUGCUGAUGCAGCAGUUGGCAUGGACAUGGGAGAAAAGAUUCAGAGGAUGGAAACUACAAACACUGGGACAUGAAAAAAAUACCACUAAAGCAGCUGAACAUGCUGACGGCAACCUCAAAAUGACUUUUUUGCCAGUUUUUGCUAAAUUACACAUCUUUCCAAAGACAUCCUACAUCAAUCAGCAUUCAGAUUCAACAAGUGCUUCCCAAGACUAAUAUGGGCCAAGACAACUGUCAGGCAUGCUCAUGUAUUUAGCACAUGUAACUCCCACUACAAACCUUUGGAGUAGGCUUGAUUCCCACAGUAACCCAGCUGAGAACUGGCUUUGCUUUCUUGCUUUGGAGUCAUAGCAUCUCGUAUAUGCCAAUUGACCUGUAUUAGACAAGGAUUUUGUUUUGCUUUGUUUUUCUUACUGCUUUUUAACCAUAAAACCCAGGCAGACAUAAGCAACGGUUCUCCACCUGGGGUGAUUUGACCCUAUUGUUUAC
rnacentral:lncRNA from 9 species